CAGCAGCCACGGUAAAACGUAGGUGGCAAGCGUUGUCCGGAAUUAUUGGGCGUAAAGGGCUUGCAGGCGGUUUCUUAAGUCUGAUGUGAAAGCCCCCGGCUCAACCGGGAGGGUCAUUGGAAACUGGGAAACUUGAGUGCAGAAGAGGAGAGUGGAAUUCCACGUGUAGCGGUGAAAUGCGUAGAGGUGUGGAGGAACACCAGUGGCGAAGGCGACUCUCUGGUCUGUAACUGACGCUGAGGAGCGAAAGCGUGGGGAGCGAACAGGAUUAGAUACCCGCGUAGUCCCUGUCUCUUAUACA
rnacentral:rRNA from 1 species